AACGAACGCUGGCGGCAUGCCUAACACAUGCAAGUCGAGCGAGACCUUCGGGUCUAGUGGCGCACGGGUGCGUAACGCGUGGGAACCUGCCCUUAGGUUCAGAAUAACUCCCCGAAAGGGGUGCUAAUACCGGAUAAUGUCUUCGGACCAAAGAUUUAUCGCCUUUGGAUGGGCCCGCGUUGGAUUAGCUAGUUGGUAGGGUAAAAGCCUACCAAGGCGACGAUCCAUAGCUGGUCUGAGAGGAUGAUCAGCCACACUGGGACUGAGACACGGCCCAGACUCCUACGGGAGGCAGCAGUGGGGAAUAUUGGACAAUGGGCGAAAGCCUGAUCCAGCAAUGCCGCGUGAGUGAUGAAGGCCUUAGGGUUGUAAAGCUCUUUUACCCGGGAUGAUAAUGACAGUACCGGGAGAAUAAGCUCCGGCUAACUCCGUG
rnacentral:rRNA from 1 species